CCGGGAUCACCUGUGCUCGCCGAAAAAUGCAAAAAUCCGACCUGAUUUAACCCAAAAUUCAAGGAGCUCGAUCUCCCUCCUCCGGCCACCGAUUCAGACGAGUAAGGUCUAUGACAGAGAAAUCACCUGUUUGAAUUUGAGCAAGGGUAUGCCUGAGCUAGAUACUUAACCAACUCAGAUAUCGGAUAACUUUGGGCAGCGCAUAUCUCUUGCAUUUCCCUUGCUGUCUUUAGCAGUGAGAGUGCUGAUGGAAGAGGUGAGCACAACCCUUUUCACAGUUCCAGAAUUCAGACAGGAUUUGAGGAGAUCCAAGGUUCCUUUGAUUGCAGUAACACUGAAUUCCAUUGAUGCUGCAACAUGAAAUACACCAUCACAGCCCUUCACAGCCUCGUCGAAG